AAACCAACAGGGAUUGCCUUAGUAGCGGCGAGUGAAGCGGCAAAAGCUCAAAUUUGAAAUCUGGCGCCUUCGGUGUCCGAGUUGUAAUUUGAAGAUUGUAACCUUGGGGUUGGCUCUUGUCUAUGUUUCUUGGAACAGGGACGUCACAGAGGGUGAGAAGCCCGUGCGAUGAGAUGCCCAAUUCUAUGUAAGGUGCUUUCGAAGAGUCGAGUUGUUUGGGAAUGCAGCUCUAAGUGGGUGGUAAAUUCCAUCUAAAGCUAAAUAUUGGCUGAGAGACCGAUAGCCGAACAAGUACAGUGAUGGAAAGAUGAAAAGAACCUUUGAAAAGAGAGUGAAAAAGUACGUGAAAUUGGUUGAAAGGGAAGGGUUUGAGAUCAGACUCGAUAUUUUGUGAGCCUUGCCUUCGUGGCGGGGUGACCCGCAGCUUAUCGGGCCANAGCAUCGGUUUGGGCGGUACGGAUAAUGGCCGUAGGAAUGUGACUUUACUUCGGUCGAAGUGUUAUAGCCCUGCGUUGAUGGCUGCCAGCCUAGACCGAGGACUGCGAUUUUAUCAAGGAUGCUGGCAGAAUGAUCCCGAACCGG
rnacentral:rRNA from 1 species